rnacentral:rRNA from 1 species
AACGAACGCUGGCGGCAGGCCUAACACAUGCAAGUCGAGCGAGGACUUCGGUUCUAGCGGCGGACGGGUGAGUAACGCGUGGGAAUGUGCCCUUCUCUACGGAAUAGCCCUGGGAAACUGGGAGUAAUACCGUAUACGCCCUAUUGGGGAAAGAUCUAUCGGAGAAGGAUCAGCCCGCGUUGGAUUAGGUAGUUGGUGGGGUAAUGGCCUACCAAGCCGACGAUCCAUAGCUGGUUUGAGAGGAUGAUCAGCCACACUGGGACUGAGACACGGCCCAGACUCCUACGGGAGGCAGCAGUGGGGAAUCUUAGACAAUGGGGGCAACCCUGAUCUAGCCAUGCCGCGUGAGUGAUGAAGGCCUUAGGGUUGUAAAGCUCUUUCAGCUGGGAAGAUAAUGACGGUACCAGCAGAAGAAGCCCCGGCUAACUCCGUG